AUUUUAUUGAACAAGAGAGGCUUAAAAGCCUUGAUAUUAAGCACUUUGGAGCUUUAUUCCAAGGUGCUUUUUUGUGUUUA
rnacentral:sRNA from 1 species